AAUUCUCCCCCGCGAAGUGACGGCCGAAGAGUUUAUUUGCCUUUUCCUCUCCCGCAGGGAACUGUUCGCCUUCGCCCCUUCGGCUGGAAGAGGCUGCUAAAUCCGGGCGGGCUGCAAGGCUCCCCGCGACGCCGCAGAGCGCGGGGAAGUGACGGGUUUGGCGUUUUGCGGCUGUAGCUUCGCACGGUGCGCUAGCGACGUCUCCCCCCCCGCCGCCCGCCCUCUACACGCAGGCAGCCUCCUCCCCUUUUUUGGACCUGGGACAGGAUCUCGGUGGCUUCGGGGACGGUCGGGCCGAAGUCCCGGGAAUGAGCCACCGGCGCGAGGGAAAGCGGGAGAGGCCUCCUCCUCUUCCUCCCUCUGCCAGCGGGCGGGUGUAACCAGGAGGCGGCGGGCAGCGAGCGGCUGGAGAGAAGGGGGAAGAGAAGGAGACAGAGAAGGUAGGAGGAAUCUCCCCCACCGCCUUCCGAAGAGCAUCCCCGGUGGUCCCAUAUGGGAGAGUGGGGAUCACCCGGGCACGGUUAUUAGUGAUGGCCAGGCUCCAUUGGCGCGUGUCUCCAGUUGCUGUCCUCCUGGCCCUGCAAAGCGAAGCAUCGCGGCUCCUUUUUCUGCUGCCCCGUUUUAAGAUGCCGUGUCUUCCCCUCCCCUCGAUCUAUUAGCCACCAUUCCCUGGCACGCAGUCCCACUUCUGUGUCAGAUGUGGGAUCCUUAAAUGCAUCCUCCUCCUCCCCCCUUUCCCAAACUAAUGGGAUGGGCAGAUGUUUGUUUGCCUCUUAAAACAUUAAGUCGCAGGAUCGUUCUUCAGGAUUCAGCUCUCCUCUUCCUCCUUUCUCUGAAUACUGUAGUUUCCCCUGUCGUUGGUUUUGAUCUAUAUGGUAGUUUCCUUUUCCUAAUGGUAUCGGGGUGCGCGCGUGCUCUCUUUCCUUAAAGAGGGCGACGGCACGGAGGGUUUGUUUCCACCACUCAGCCCAAGGCCCCUUUGCUGUCAGGCGUGGGCCUCGGACAUAAAGGGGAAGGCUGCCGCUUCCAGCAUCCUCCGAGCUUGUUUGCUUGGUGCCUAUUCCCUGUUAGAAAACUCCUAUCGCCCUCUGUGACUACUGACUACUCAACUGUUUUAUAACUGGUAACUUCUGGUAGCUUGUGUGUAUAGUAAAUCCUGAUUGUUCACUUCAUGGGUUUUCUGUUAACGGCUUCUGGUAUAAACACCUAAUAAUCAAGUGUUAACAAUAUAACCACUGAGCAGCUUGCCUGUGUAUUUCGGAAGUGAGCCUUUUGGAAAGUUCAGUGGUGUAUGAGUGCAUGCAGAGCAUGUCUUUAAAUAAGGGAGAUAGAGACACCGUUGUUAGCAUGAUGAUUUAUGAUGAUAAAGACUGUGUGGUUAAAAUCUAUAAGUAACCCAGCAUAAUGAUGUGCAGUUCAGACCUCUGACAUUGCAAGGACUGUCAGUCACAGAUCCAAAGUUGCCCUUAGCUUUUGAACCUAUGUGUUCCUACUUUCAACUCCUGCUGCAUAUUGGUAUCAUUGUAUCUGUGGCUGAAAUGACACACUUUUUCUCUCGUAUGUGUGCACAUACGCAUUUCCUCCCCUCUUCCUGUUUCUUGGGACACAGUCUUCAUUUUCCAAGGUAAUGAGUGCUUUCUGGGCCUUUUCUUAUUGGCUCUGUACUAGACACAGGACCUUAUAUGAUUUAACCAAGACUGAAUUUGUAGCUAAGGUUGGGUUAUGAAGUGUGCAGAGGCGAUUUGAGAGACUGAAUCGAAAUUGACCCAAGACAUGUUGCUUCCUGAAGAACAGGAUGAUGUGAUGAAGAUCAUUAAAAUUUAUAUAAUGCACUUUGUCAAAGACCACAGGGAAGUUUUCAGCACAGAACAUAAAAAAGAAUGCAUAGCAUAAUAUCCAUGCAAAAAAUGUGAACAGCUAUAUAAAUACAAUUCAUAAUAAUAAGCAAUGCAUAGUAAUCAUACGCAGUAGUAUAUAAUAUGGAAUGAACAUAAUUAAUAUCUACCAAGCAGCAAUGUCAAAUUAUGCACAAUGUCAUCCCAAGCAAUAAAUUCCACAACUCAACCUCUGUAAAAUAAAGAAUUUUAUUACCUGCUUAUCUUGGGUGUAACCGUACAACAUAAUACCCCACUUUCUACAUUCCAGUGUACUGACAGUUGAAUUGUACUCCAAAAUUGUUGAUGUAACAACAUCCUGCUGUACACCUGAGGCCUGCAGCCUAGCUCAGAGCGUCAGGGUAGGCUGCAUAGUGCGCACAGCUAUGUCCUCCAAAUGCUUUGCUACUGUUCCCUGUCCCCAAGCAUUUGCCAUCCGAAAUGGCUGUCUCACUCUGACCCCAUUUGCACUAUACAAUUAACACAAUAUCAUACCACUUUAAACAGUCAGUGCUUAAGUUCCAAAGAAUCCUUGGAAUUGUAGUUAAGGGUGCCAAGAGUGGUUAGGAGAACACUUCCCUUCACAGAGCUAUAAUUCUCAGAGUUCCAUAGGAAGAGGAAUUGACUGCUAAACUACUCUGAUAAUUGUAGUUCUGUGAGGAAAAUAGUUGUCUCCUAACAACUCUCAACACUCUUAACAAACUACAGCUCCCAGGAUUAUUAUUUUUUGCAAGGGGGGUGGGGAGCCAUGCCUGCUUAAAGUGGUAGGGUACAAGGCCUCUAAUGGCAGAGUCAACUCUGACCUGUCCAGACCAAAUGUUGUUACCCUGACUAGUUUAAAGCUCGCUUCCUGGUGUUCUGUGUGACAAGAAGUUCAGUGAUUAUGACACCUCUGUUAGAGAGAGCUCGUAACAUGACAUAUGCCAUGAUUAUGUUGUUGACUGCGAGUGUUUCAUGGUGCUGGUUUCAUUGUAAUCAAGCUAAAGGUAUUCGUAAUUAUUAAGGCAAAUCCUCUAAGCAAGUUAUUGCUCAAGAGGGUGCUUGGCAUGUGUCUCUUGGAGGAGAUAAAGCUGAGGCUUUAAGGCAUGACAAGUUGUUUGCCAACAGGUAGCAUAUGUGACAAGCUUGAGAGCUAUGCACACUGCAUUUUACUUUGUGGAUUUUGCAGCUGGAGAAUGUGACCUGGUAUAUUCAGAAUGAGUUUUUGCAAAAGCCGCACAUAAUGUUGAUGCCUGCCUGAUUUCCCUGACAGACAAUAGAAUAUGCACACUGAUCCAGUUCUUAAAUGCAUAUACUUUGAAAUAAGUACCCUGUUGGCUCAGCUAGAAUUGUGUUCUGACUGAGCAAGUGUGCUUACAAUCAGUCUUAAAGUGCCUAAAUGCUACAGUACUACUAAAAUGGUAUAUCAAAAUUCCCAAAGGCUACAAUCCUAAAAGCAUGUAUUAUGGAGUAAAACACAACUGAUCCCAAUAUGUCUUCUGAGUACUGUGUAUGUUCAUAUUAUCAACAGCUGAAUUAGAUCCCUUGAGUUCUAGUUUUGUGUUGUUUAC